rnacentral:tRNA from 1 species
GCAUUGGUGGUUCAGUGGUAGAAUUCUCGCCUUCCCUGCAGGAGAUCUGAGUUGGAUUCCCAGCCAGUGUA